GAGAGGAACACUUUCAAAGAUCCUACCUAUCUUAGUCCAUUCAGGCUACUGUAGUAAGAUACCACCAACUGCGUGGCUUAUAACAACAGAAAUUUAUUUCUGACAGGUCUAGAGGCUGAAAAUCUAAGAUCAGGAUUCCAGCAUGGUUGCGUGAGGGCUGUCUUCUGGGUUUCAGACUUCUUGUGGUAUCUUCACGUGGCAGAAAGGCUCUUAAUAUUGUGCCAUGAACACCUUAGAAUAUUGGUGACAAACAGCUAAGUCAGUAGAACUGGAAACAAAAGAAAAUUCUUUUUAGCAUGGAAGAACAGCUAGUAACUCUGUCGGUUCAAGAAGAAGCAACAAGUUCAGUAUUUAUGGGACAGUUUAGAAAGGAAAUAAAUGGCUUCAAAUAAAGGCUACUUCUGGGACUGCAGAUGAAGAGGUGGUGGAAGCAGCAGAAAAGAGCAUCAUUCCUGCUUUCUUCUACAGUAGGGAGAAAUUAAGCCAACAUAUCACUGAGGAUGAGGAAACUGCUCAAACUAUCAUUUGCAUUGACUGGUUACUUCCUCAAUGUGGAGACACUCUUGGCCAAUGCAGUCAAAAUGUAAACUUUCAUUGUCCCAAAGAAGUAACAGUGGAAAAAGAAGGAGAAUUUACACUGACUUUUUUAACAUUUCAUCACUCCCAUCUCCUCAUUGCCACACAGGGAUGACUCACUUCUGCCUGUUUUCAAGGCCAAGAAGCAGCAUGAAAGAGGAAACAACUCCACUUAAAGAGUUUUCUCUUCUUGUUCAAGCCUGGUCAGUCUUGUAUCCCACAGCUGGGGAAAGAAGAAUGUAGAGACACUUCCAAUGUUCAUGUUGACCACAAAACUCUCUGUUAUUUCCUAUUCCAAGGCAAAAGCUGUGUGUCUAGGAGUAACUGAAAUGUAUACAGAGGUAUGGCUAGGGAUGGUUUUAUAGCAGGGAGGAUAUAUGGAUAAAUAUAUUUUCAUUUAAUUGCUGAAAGCAGCUUUACACAAAAGAUGACCUAAUAGCAGAACAAAAUAUCUGCAAAAAUAUAUCAACUUCUCUGUUUUAUUACCUCCCACAAGUACCCACAAACAUACAUGAAGUCCCUCUAGAGACCAAUCAGACAUAUCGUACAGAAUUUGCUGUAACCAAGGUAACAAAACAUUAUUUCUUUGCAUCAACUUUUAAGACAAAAAAAAAAAAUGAUUGUUAGAGUGAAUUUUUCUUUGUAAUGGUAUUUAUUGUUAAGAUGUUGACUUACCCUCAUUUUCAAGAUCUAGGUUAUAUCAGGCUAUUUUCUUCCAGGCACUAAUUAUAACUUUCAAUGAUAAUUAGGAACACCUGAAUUAUAGGUCGAAUCGUUUUUUGGGCCAUAGAUAAGUAAGAAUAUAGAUGUAACAUGAUUCUAAUUACUUUUAUGUUUCUAUGAAAAGGUAUUUAUUAACAUAACUGACUAUCAGUUAACUAAUACCUAUAUAUUGAUUACAUGGUCCACAAGCAUGACAUGCCUACUGAUAUAUGUAGUAUAAGACACUCUAAAUAAUUUGCAUGUUUAUUAUUUUAUAUAAAAUCAUUUGAUAUCUUUCUCACCAAAUUUAACUCAUUAAUAAUUAUCUGCCAUCUAGUUCUAUGAUGAAAUAGAAUAAAACAAUCCAUCCCAAAUAUUAUGUACUCUUGUAAGAGUACCAUGCCUCCCAAGGUCAUACACACACCUUUCUUAAUGUAGGUACUGUGUUCAAAGUUUUUAUUUAUAUGAGGAUUUCAUUUAGAUGCCCAGCAUUGCUCUUCAAAUAAACCCCUUUUGAUGUUCAUAACAGAAGGGCUCAGUAGCAGCCUGGAGUUCUGUGAUAUCAUGUUCUCCCACUAAACUUUACCCUGAUGAUCUCAAUUUGAUACGAAUCUCUGAUGGACAUGUUGGCACAGCCUUCAUUCCUGCAUGGAUUCCAUGUUACCUUUUUAAAAUAUCACUGUUACUUUGUCCAAACUUGACUCAGAAAGCCACAAUGACUAUUAUUACUUUGGGCUUCUGGUGAAUAACUACAGAUGGCUUGGUUGUUACCAAGUUCCUGAAAACUUUUACCUUGUAUGUAGUGUGUGAAUCAGUAGUGCUUACAAUUUAUCAUAUCCUGCAAUUCCAAAUGCUUGUUAUCAGUAUCACUAAUGUGAUGAUUGAGUUUAUAAUUCCAUUGAUUUAAACAAUGGCCAUUUUUACUUUAGAAAUUAAUGAUUGGUUACAAAAGUUUUUACCUACCAGCUAAAAUUUGAGGAAGAAAAUAAUUCAUACAAAGUAGCAAAGAGAUUCUAGUUAUACAAUCUUAGGCAUUUUCUUCUAUAUUUUGAAAGUAAUAAGCAUUUUCUUACAGCUUAAUGAAGUAAAAAUUAAGCCGUUAUCAGAGUGCUCCCAAUUUCCUCUGAAAGUGUCUUAUUCAAGCUGUUUCUCUUGUAUGUUUUCUUACAUUAGGGAGAAAAUGCUGCUCUAAAGAUCUAGAUUUCUAUUCCCUGGGACUAUGUACCUCAUAUGACUUAGUUUGACAAGAAUCAUUUUCAUUCUCAGUUAGGAAAUUAAAGCAUAAGGUAGUGUAAUAAAUAUGUGAUUGAACUUUGCAAUAGCAUAGGCUUAUUAGCUCUAAGAAUUUCCAAAAUUACAUUAAUUUUUUUCCUACCUCAUGAUAUUUGCCCUCUAGCUCUUGAAUUAGAUUUUUUAUCCAACUUCACAGUUGUCAUUUUGGUUUCAAACUUAGACAUUUUCUAGAGACUACAUCUG